GGUGCUAAUACCGCAUAACGGGGGAAGCCGCAUGGCUUUUCCCUGAAAACUCCGGUGGUACAGGAUGGGCCCGCGUCUGAUUAGCCAGUUGGCAGGGUAACGGCCUACCAAAGCGACGAUCAGUAGCCGGCCUGAGAGGGCGGACGGCCACACUGGGACUGAGACACGGCCCAGACUCCUACGGGAGGCAGCAGUGGGGGAUAUUGCACAAUGGGGGGAACCCUGAUGCAGCGACGCCGCGUGGGUGAAGAAGCGCCUCGGCGCGUAAAGCCCUGUCAGCAGGGAAGAAAAUGACGGUACCUGAAGAAGAAGCCCCGGCUAACUACGUGCCAGCAGCCGCGGUAAUACGUAGGGGGCAAGCGUUAUCCGGAUUUACUGGGUGUAAAGGGGGCGCAGACGGCGAUGCAAGCCAGGAGUGAAAGCCCGGGGCCCAACCCCGGGACUGCUCUUGGAACUGCGUGGCUGGAGUGCAGGAGGGGCAGGCGGAAUUCCUGGUGUAGCGGUGAAAUGCGUAGAUAUCAGGAGGAACACCGGUGGCGAAGGCGGCCUGCUGGACUGCAACUGACGUUGAGGCCCGAAAGCGUGGGGAGCAAACAGGAUUGGAUACCCUGGUAGUCCACGCCGUAAACGA
rnacentral:rRNA from 1 species